GAGGCAGGUCAUCGCUUUGCCCCUCCAUCUCCCACAUCGCCCCUUUCCUCGCCACACGGAGUCGAAGGGGAAAGAUGAGGUUGAGUCGGGCUUCUCCUUGCGUCGGGUUUUCUCCUCGGUUUCUACUCCGUCCACCCCGCUUCCUCGCCUCCUCCCCUUCUGCCGGCCCAUUUUCCAAUUUUCGGGUUUCCUCCCUUCCGCUCGACUCGUUGCGUGAAGAGGAGCUUCAGCGACGCGAGCUGUGAUGGGCACCGGGGCCAAGGUUGGCCAGAAUUUUUUGCAUGUUCGGGGAUGGCUUCAUGUAUAUUCAUUCAGUUGUUGUCGUACUCCAAUUUAGUAUUCAUGGUUUCCUUGGUCUACAGAAAUAUAUGCACAUCAAGGAGCAUAGAGCUGCCAUUUUACAUCCAGGUGUUCUAGAUAUCCUAAUGAUGUAUGGUGCAUUUCAACAACAUCACGUCGAUCAGCUGUUACCCGAACAUCACGUCUAUUUUAUAUGUUAAAGAUCUUAAAAGUCUCUCAAUUGACCUAUUGGUUCCCGGCGUGUUGGUUAAUGCUCAAGUGACUUCAGUUCUUGAGAAUGGGAUAAUGCUAUCAUUUCUUAUACAUACUUCACUAGAUAUGUAUGGCUUUUUAAUUUUUUCAUUGCUUAUAUAUUUUUUGAAGGUGCAACGCUUUGGAAUUGAAUAAGAUACAUUCACCUAGUGACUUAUAAUCUAUAACUGGAAUAUGGAAAGAUAAUUAUGCUCAGAACAAACACAUUCUCAUUAUCGAUGGGCAGCAUUGAACGAUUUUAUCAGUCACUAGGCGUCCUGCAGUUGCUGCAAUUGUAUCAGAAUGCCUUGUAGCUUCCUCAUUUGAGACUGUCAGAGGUUGGGACAGCUUUAAAUCGUUACUGUCCCCAAGUGGGCACAUGUCCUUCUGGUUCAGACCAUCUGUGCACACCAGGGUUGGUGGUUGACUAUUCUGUUGAGUUGUUCCCUCUAUCACAGGACUUGUGUUGUCUCAUUACUGGCCUCAUUAGCAGCACUAUCCAGGUCUUCAUGGUUCCCAACAAUUGUAUUCAUUGUUUGGGGAUUCCGGGAGGCAUUACAGUGCGCUACAUGGUGUCCUAGUUGCUGGCAUCCGGUGCAAAGCUUCAUGUAGAUUCAAAAUGCAGCUGUUGGACUAAAAUAUAUGGGCACUAUAAGUAUGCUCAUUUAUGGAUGACUAGAGAAUGAUGCUCUUGUUUCUUGAAACUCAAGAAGAGGAAAUUGAAGGAAGAUUGUUGGGAUCAUGCGUAAAGAUGGAAACUGUCUCUCAAAUAAAGAGUAGUGUUUGGAAGGAUCGGCUAGAAGAGACUUGGGAUGACAUGAUAGUCAAUGUGGUGGCCAAAGGCGAAUACGCUCGCCCCCAACGCCCCUGCCAACCCGUCUCAGAGCCAACACGAAGGAGGUAAAUCAUCUUUGAAAUAGUGGCUAGCAUAUAUCGGAGGCAUUUACCUUGGCUUUGUCGAGAUUCGAACCCUAGACCUCAUGAUGGCAAUACCUCAUGUGCUAGCUACUAGACCGUCCCGAGGGGACGACAUGAUAAUCAAUGUUUUUGUCCUAUUUUUCUGAUAGUUUUAGAGGAUGUGGGCGAUACAUAUGCAACUUUAGCACUAAUGUAUAGAUAUGAUGCUAGAUAUGCUCCUUCAACAAGUCAUUCAAGCUAGAAUAAUUGCACUAGUGGUCGUGUUGUCAUCAAUUCUUCUGAAAUGAGCAUCUCAUUCCCUUUAAAAUAAAGAGAUCAAAUGCUCGAUUAUGUCCUGAGAUUGAUGGGUGAGAUGAGAAUGAGUUGGUUGAUUCAAGCAUUGAGCAUCUGCAAACUCAGACUCUUGCUUUGUGUGCGUGUAAAACUUGGGUUUUAGUGGAACCAUGAUUGAAGCUAGAAACUGCAUUCUAAAGGGCUGAUAGCUCAUUCAUAAGCGGUUUGCUGCUAGAAUGCUUAUUGGGAAGAAACCUGCCCAAGCAUUGCUCCCUACCAACAAAAGUCUAUUACAAAGUCGUAUGUGAAAACGACAAAUGGGGUGGGAUAAUCGAAGGUUUUUGUUGAGAUUGAAGAUGUUGAGGUUCAACAAAAAGUCAUUGAUGUCAUUACUUAAAUAGCUUCUGCUGUGAAAAAAUUUCCAAAGCGAUGUGUGGUGCUGUGCCUUUGUGAGCAUGCUGUGAAAAGGACUCCUUCAAUGAGUGAGCUCAAUGAAAUAAUGCUGGGCAGGAACAACUUAAGCAAAGUAGCCCGUUAUUUUUCAUAGUAUCAUAAGGGAUUCUGAUUCAGGAAGCUAUUCCUAAUGAAGUUUAUAACUCAGCUGAUGAAGAGUAUACUACUGACGAAGGAUAAAGGCAAUCAAGAGAUUCUGAUUUAAUUUUAGAAGGUACUUCUAAGAAAGUAUCAAUUAGCAAGGAUCCUGACCAGGACCCAAAAAUAUCUAUUCAAGAUACUGCAACUUUAGCAGCAGCUGACCAGGGAUUGAUAGACCUUAUUGGAAAGAGAAAAUGGAAUCAUUAACCAAAAUAAUCUUGAUGACUAUAUUAAUAAGAUUAAUGCAAACAAGCAGCAAAAGAUGGAUGCAACGAAAACUAUUCUGCCACCUUUCUAGUAUCAUGCUUAUGAAAGCUCUGAAUCCUCUAGUAGGGCUGAUGAUAUUAAAACAUGAAAUCAAGCAAUGGAAUGCUUUACCAUUUAUUGUGAGCUCUACAAAAUCAUGAAAGAGCAAGAAUCCCAAGGUUUCCGGUGAAGGAAUUUCAUGGAUGGUAUCUACAGUUGAAGACUUUGGAAUUACGCCUAUAAAGUUAAAGAUUACAAGUGACACUAGGAAGCUUGUCUAUCACGCUCAAAUCAUAUUGCUCGAGUUGAUGCUUGCACGGAUUUGUUUUCUUGCUGUGUUGGGAGUUAAAUUCAUUCCAUUCUGCCCUGAUAACUACUGCUCUUUUGUAAUUUGAGAGCUUGCUUUUCUUGGAUGCUAAGAUUUCUAUAAUUGCAGGAUUCACACACUAGAACAAUUUGCAGCCACAAACUUUUAGGACUCUUAUUCACAAAAAGGAACGGAAACUUACAUGAGAUUGAACUGAAACUUACAAGAGAUUGAUGCUUUGCUGCUAAACUCAAGUAAAACUCCGGAUGUUUUUCCGUGUUUUGCAAGAGUGAAUUAAAGGUACUUAUAUAGAAGAGAAAAGCGUGAACUGGGUGCUCAUUGGGCCCCACCAUCAUUCACUGGUUCCUUCUUUAGCACCUUUCCAACUAAGUCUAUAUGACUUAUCUUACUUUUUAGGCUUUAUUCCUAAUAACAAGUGAGCGGCUCCCCGUGGCUCAAUACAUUGUUAUGGGGAAUCAAGGUUAAUUAGCUGUUCCUUUCAUGGCGGUGUGUUCUUGAUGCUUUUUAUGACAUCCUGUAGUUGAAAGUAGCUUUUCCAGAGCUCAAGGCGUGCUUCUUUGACAUUUGGCAGUUGUUUGUACCAAUAAGUUUCUUUUCCUUCAUGGUGGCUUCUGCGUUGGAAGUCGUAUUCCUUGAGCUGGCAGAUAAGCUCAAGUUCUCGAAGCUGGCAAGCACUUGCUGAGAUGCUGCUCUUACGAUGCUGGCCAUUUGUCGUCUAGCGUCAUGUUCUUCUUCAAGGAGGACGCUUGUUCGGGUUGAGUUGACCAGGUCUUCAUAUUUAGUAAGGAAUAGAUAAUGUGGGCUAGAUAAUUGGAGGCAUGUUGAUUGGGUUGAGCUUUGAUUUGACUUAGGGCUUCCUCCAGAGUCAUCAGGGUCUCUGCUUGUGGAUGCCAUCAUGUGGUUAAACUGCACACAAGACGAGACAAGGCAUCAGCCAAAAGGUUGUCCUUACCGUCGAUAUGCUGGAAGUUAAUUGGUAUACCCAUGUCGGUGACGAAGUUGGUGAAGGCUAUCCAUCUCACUCUAGAAGGCUUGUUCUGAAAGCUUUUGUUGAAAAAUGAUAUUAUAGCCUGGCAAUCAGUUCGGACCAUUAAUUCCUUUUUAUCAAGAUAAUAAAUCUUGAAGCUAUCCAGGCUGUUCAUUACUACAUAGAUCUCGGCAUCUAUGGUAGCUUUUGGUGGACAGAAUUUCCCUCUUGCAUAUGCACAAACUUUUUCUGUUGAUUUGGGAUUAAAUUGUUGUAGCUUCCACUUACAUAUUCCUCCCCAGCCUUCCAUACAGCCAUCUCUUUCAAGUAUGAUAAACUAGUUUUCUGGUGGAAGCUCGAGAUCCGGGAGUUGUUGGACCUUUUCUUUAAUUUGUCUUACUAAGGCCCAAUCCUGACUAUUCAUCUUCUUUUCUCCGGUCAGGCUAAUUUUUGAAUAUAGUGGCCCAAGUGUUUUUCCAAGAUUAGGAAUAUAAGAACGAGCAUAGUUAAGAAGUCCUAACCAUGAUCGCAGGCCUUUUGUUGUUUGAAGAUCUUUUCUUGAAAUCCUGAGAUCCUCUUGAUAAUACGAGGUUGUAAUUUGAUUCUUUUAUUGCCAAUAGUGGCUCCCAGAAAAUCAAUUGUAUGUACUGCUAUUUUCAUUUUUGUUGGACUUAGUAUGAGACCAUUCUUGUUGCAUAUAUCAAGCAUAACCUUCAAAUGUUCUGCAUGCUCUUUUUCAUUCUUAGAAAAUACCAGGAUAUCAUCAAUAUAUAUGGCUAUGAACGGCUCUGUUCCUCUGAAGCAGUUAUCCAUUUUUCUUUGAAAUACUGCGGGAGCAUUCUUUAACCCGAAUGGCAUAACGAGUAAUUCAUAUAAGCCGUCAGGUACCCAAAAAGAUGUCCAUUCAAUGGACUGAGGAUGCAUAGCAACUUGAUGAAAACCGCUUUUCAAAUCAAAUUUUGAAUAAAUGUUACUAUAACCAACUCGUUUAAUGAUAGUAUUGAUACCUGGUAAGGAGUAUUGAUCCUUGUGUGUAUUGUCAUUCAAUCUUUUAUAAUUGAAUACCAGUCACUCCUUGCCUUUCUUCUCAAUGCCUGUCUCAGUGGUUCCUGAGUAAACAAUAAUUGUUGUUGUUCUAUGGCGGCUCUGGCUUGGUUGAAUAACUUUUAAUUCCAGGAGUGUCUUCACAUGCCUUUGAAAGGAAUCUUGCAUUUGGGGUGUCACAUGCUUCAAAGGCUUGUCUUCAAUAGUAAAUUCACGAUUCUUGAUUUCAAGAUGACACAUAACUUGAUUAUUAGCCCAAUAUUUCAUUGGGUUGUCCCCAAUAUAUCCAGCUUGGGUUAAGUCCCCUAUUAACCUUGUAAAUUUUCUUGAAAACUUGGGUGGACCAUAGUGCCUCCGUUUAUUUGUUCGGAAAUUAUAUUGUACUCUUCCUCAUCUAAAUCUAACUCCUCAAGUGUAGCUAGAGUUGGGGUUGUUUGCUGUGUUUGAAUUGUAGUCACAUUUUUAUAAAAGGUGACUUCAUUCCCUUCUAUACGUACUCCUCCACUCAUGGCUCGUAUGAAGUUGCAUCCCAAUAUCAUCUGAAUGUCGUCACCUAGCUUCAUAGGGAAUGCAUAAGUAAAAGGAAUUCGGAAGGAAUGAACACCUAUUUUCAUUAACCCGCCUUUGAGCUGGGUAGGAAUGACAAAGAUUCCACCAUUCUGAUUGGUUUUUUGCCUUAAACCUUCCUUUUCCUGCUCGAUAUCCUUCGAAUAUAGGUGGUUGCUGGGCCAUCAUAGAGGAAGAUUCUUUUAUGGCCCUAGCGUGUGGAUAGCCAACAGGACCCAUUGCAGUAUCAGUGGGUGGCCUAUACUGUGGCAUGGCUGAAGAAUACAAUUGUUCUUCCAACUGCUUUAUUUGUGGAUAAUCAGUCAUCCAUUCUUCAUUUGUUGCUACAAUGAUAUGACAAUAAGGUUUAGCAGUAGUAGCAGCAGCAACAAAAGUGUUGUAAAGGGGCUUGUGCUAAAUAUUGUAGAUAAAUAAUGUGCUCAUCGUCAAUAUCUGAGCUGAGCAUGACAUGAAAAGACUCUUCUUGUGGAAAAAGCAUGUUGAAUUGUUCUUUCCAAAUUUUGGAUGCUGGAUCGAGCCAUAUCGUUUGUUCUCUUGAAACAUUUGGCAUGCCGAUGGUGCUAUACCACAUACGUGCAUCAUCCGAAUUAGUUGGGGAGGAUGCCGCAGAGCUUGCUUCGGAAGGAAAAAAAACUUUGAGCAAUUGCUUUUGCUUUAGUAUCAUCAUAGUUAGCAAGUAGCUCCUUCAUCCUUUUGUCGACAGUGUCAAGUUCACAAAGGAUUUCAGUAGUGGAGCCAAAUUCGGUAUGAUUACGGAUAGUACUGUCCAACUUGUUUACUUCAACGACCUCAGGGGUUGAUAUAUGUUCAACUAUAAGUUGGGCAAUACAUUCAUGCCUCUGUAAAUAGAUAUUUGUGUUAGUAGUGUUGAAUGCAAGAAUUUUUACCUCUCCGCGAUAAUCUGAAUCAAUAACUCCUCCUCCAAUGAGAAUUUCUUUAGGUAAGGAGGCGCUUGAUCGUGGGGCUACUCUGGCAUAAGUACCCUGAGGAACUUGUAUACUGAUGCCAGUUGUUAAUAAGGAUCUGCUAUUGCGAGGAAUAUCUUGUGCUCGAUUAAUAGCCAGAUCAUAGCCAGCAGCUCCCAGUGUCUUUCUUUGGUGUAGUUGAGCUGAUGGAUCAAUUUUCUUUACUAACAAUGGUUCUUCAUGCGUAAGUACAGAGAUUAGAUGUUGACUAUGAACUUCCUCUUCAUCACUUUGGACUUCCUCGUCUUGUUCUUUGUAUGUUGGGGGUGAUGAAGUUGUUGAUGCCUGAUAAUUUUCAAAAUGCAAAGAAAUACGACCAUCCAAUAAAUUCCGUGUACUAACCUCUGUUGGUUGCAUGGGUAUGUUUACAGUAGAUUGCCUACUGAUCCAAUUUUGUCCGAGAACAUCGCUGGUGUUGUAUCUUCUUUCGGGCAGUGCUCAGACUCCGCGGCUUGCCAAAUAAUCUACCACGUUAGCUACUGAAUAUGCAAAUCCGACAUUGGGGGUAUUAGAUAACCUCGCAACCAUUCCUCUUGUGACUAGUAAAUUUGCUUCACCGUUCCGCCAGUUUUCGUAUCCUCUGGUUAAUACAGAAAUUUGAAUAUUCCUGUAAAAGUCAGAUAUGGUUAGCAUAGUAUCCGGGAUAACGUAUACUAUCUGACUUCCAUAAGUGAGGUCAACUUCAAUAGUGGCGAAGAUGGCCUGGUCUCCCUGCCAUCUGUUAUCUCUGAAAACAACUAGGGCCACUGUUCCUUCUUCUUGUCGGUGAAGGAUUUGAAUUCUUACUUGUAUGACUCCCAUAUGCAGGAAUCUCAUACCACUUCUUUGUAAUUGAUUAAAACUUUCAUGCUGGAUGAAAGAUCUGUCAGAUUGGUUAGAUGUUACCAGGAGGGCUUCUUCUGACUGAUGUAUAUAAACACGAUGAUGAGCAUCAUCUCUUCUGGAGUGGUACAGAAUUUCGGCGGGAACUAUAGCAGCUCACUCCUGCAUAGAUAGUCUGAGCUAAGCUUGAGGGUCCAUUUGUUGUUCCAGAUUCUUCUUCGUGGCCUUUGGAUUCCUUGUUGAGCAUUGUACCAUCGCCGUUGACUUCUGCGUAAAGCUCCUGAGCUAGAGGUUGGUUCUUUGUACUCAGUCGGUCUGCAAAAACCAAUAGCAGGUGCCUCGAUUUCUUCUGUAGCUUGGAGGGCGUCUCUAUAACUCUGGCUGGCUUGGGUGUUGAUAUAGCUCAUGUGCCAGUCCAAGAUUCUACCUUAUGUAGUAAGGUUUCGACUCGCUCCAGCUUUUUCUUUAAUUCUGCAGAUAAUUGUAAAGCCUGUUUUUUUUAUCAACUUGGGAUGCUCUACUAUUUUUAGGAUCAACUCUUGAACUUUAGACUCUGUAAGGGGUCUGUUGUCUAUUACCUCUUUUGUUAGGUUUACUAGGGCUUUGUUUAUCUUUUGGUUUUCCUUUUUCAAAAACUCCAAUUCCUCAAGUAUGGUUUUAAAGUUUUUAAGGUGGUCUCGACAAGACAAACAAACACGGUCGUAUACAACUGAUAAGUUGUGAGCUAGUUCUUUUGUUGAUGGCUUUGUUUCAACUAGGUCAAGGUCUUCUAAGUUCGAGGUAUCAGAUUUUCAGUACCACUCUUCUAUAGCUUCUUCCCAACGUCUUGACAUUUAACCAAGAUCACUUACAGCUUAGUGAGUGCUAGUUUGUUUCUUGCUCACCCGACGGACUACUGCUGCCUCCUGUAGUCUUACGCGUACUGUGAUCUUUUGCAAUCUACUUGUAGCUACUGAGGUCGCCUUAUUAUGAACUGGGCAAAUCUCUUGAAAUUUGGCAGCCUUUAAAAGCUAUGGUUAAAUCAUUACCCCAGGGACCUCUCCUUUUGAAUACUUGGCUAAGAGGUUUAGUUAGCCAUAUGAACAACAAGCGCUGAUACCAAAAAAAGAAAGCGUGCUUCUAAUUGCAAGUAAGAGAUAAUGAACAAGAACUAGAAAGAAUUUUCAGGACUCUUAUUCACAAAAAGGAACUGAAACUUACAAGAGAUUGAACUGAAACUUACAAGAGAUUGAUGCCUUGCUGCUAAACUCAAGCAAAACUCCGGAUGUUCAUUGAAUUUGUUCAUAUCCCUAAAUGAUUUGUUCAUUGAAAUUGAAAAUGUAAGUUUCUUUUUUGUUUUAUUGAUGCGAAAUGUAUUUUCUAUAUGACUCGUAACUCAUUGCAUUUGUUUUUUUAUUUUCAACACUUUAACACUCUCCUAGAUCAUUCAUUACAAGAUAUGCUCACUGAAAAUAUGUUGUCUUGCAAAUACUUCUUCUUCGUUAAUUAGAAUUUAUAGCAAAUAACAAACAUUCUCCAGUUCAAACAUACUGCACUUUUAAGUUAUUUCAUUAUGCAGGCACUAACUUUUCUAAAUAUUUUAAAGCACCAUGUUGUUCUUUUACUGUUGGUGCAUAAAAUUUUAUUUCUGUUAGACAUGUAAACACAUUUAAAGUUAAAUUGAUUCAUGAGGUGAACAUAUUCUAUUCUUACAGAUAUGCCUUGUGCUUUUUGGCUGUGAAAUAGAUGUUAUCUUUUUGAAAUGCAUUUUGUGGUGUAUUGAAGGUCGGAAAAUGAUCAUUGUGUUUUAUAGCCAUUGAGUGUUGACAUGAUCACUUAUUUUGUUACUGCCAAGUCAUGGAGUUUGUUCAUUCUCCAUAAGUUAAUUGGAUUUCUUACUUAAAUUUUGCCCUACCUGCUGAGUUGAUGGCUGGUGGGCGUGUGUGCAUGUAACAUUGAACUUGUAAAACUUACAAAAAAAAAUGCCUCAUUUGGUCAAAUAAGUUUACCAUGUAGAAGAUAUUAGAAUAUUUUGUUAUCUUGGCCUAUUCUACUUUGUAAGUUCAUUUUUCGACUCUUUCUCCCAACUCCAUUUUGGUCUAAAUAUGAUCAUAGCAUAAUAAAAGUUUGCAAUUGUUUUUUCUUUGUAUGCUUUUCUUGAUAUUGUAUACACCAGAUGGACAAUUAUCAACAAGGAGUUUAUAUUGCUGAGACUAAAAUUCUAGGCAACCAAAAGGCUGUUUUAAGGUUCAUGGUGAUCAAGAUGGAUUGGUAUGCUUACAUGGCUUAACCUGUACUUUUCCGGAGUUUAAAUUUGUGCAAAAUAAAUUCCUUCCCUUAUCAAAGGGGAAUGCAUCAACUUACCUUUCAAUAAUUCAAAGAGAGAUAAAUAAAAAAAAAAUCCAUAAACACAAUGAAAAAAGACACAAGAAAGGGAAGAUGAAGAAUGGUAAAUCUUAUUUUACUUUGCUACUGAUGUUAAAUACUAACAUGUAUAUUUUUAUAGUUCAUAUGGAGAAGGCAAAGACUGCCCAAGAGGAAGCAAGGGAAUUGUUGCUGAUGGAGUAAAUAACUAUCCAUCAUUGGGUUAAAUCUCUCAAUUAUGCUUAGGACUCUUGAUCAGAUGACUAUUUACUCAUAGCCAGAUGAAAUAUGUUGAUAUUUACUGCACUCAUGAAAUGUUGGAGAUGCAACAAUUGAGACUAUGCUAAAUCUUAUUCGUUGAUGUACAUGCUGAAGGUCAAGUUCCCAAAGGCCCUUCAUUGGAUAUUUUUGAGCAAAUAGUUAAUAGUCUAUAAUGAGACAGAUUAGACAGAAGGUGUUGAUCAGUGAGUCAACUCGCGACAAUAGCAGUACAACCCGAAGACCUUCUAGUUUAAAUUCUGCAUUUGGCUAUGUUUUUUUUUCGAACCGUCUGUGUAAUUUUAUUUGAACUAAGGAACCGCUAUGAAAGUAUGAGUAAGUGAUGUCUCA